rnacentral:lncRNA from 1 species
AUGACGGGGAUUCUCUCUCCCAUACAAGUCAUCUGCACACCAGCGACAGCGAUUGUGGCUUCUCUUGUAGUUGCAGAUUUUGUUGUUUUUUCCAAGACCCAAAUGUAUUUUCACCCCUGUUUUGCUUUCCACUUUGGCUCUUGCCCCUUCUCAUUUCCUAUUACUCAGUCCCAUAACUGUGAUACCAGCUCAUUCACAUCUUUCCCACUUCUCUGUGUGUAUGUUAUUCCAAACCUCCCUCCCACUUCUCUCUCGGUCAUCAGCCUUUCUUUCAGGCUGUUGCCUGUUAUCCGAGUGAUACGUUGCCUAUCAGUUUUAUAUCCUCCUUCUGGUGCUACUUCACUAUCUUGUUUUCUAUCUUCUCUUUUCAUACAUAUUGUCCCCUUUUCCACCUCCAAUUUUAUAUAACUUGAAGUCAUCUUUAUGUGUUUUUAUUUAUAAAAUAGUUUUAUUGGACUCCAUAUUGUCUCCGUGUGGCUUAUUUCCUUGAUUGGCCCCAAAAUGAGGCCUGCCUAUUUUGUACCUAAUGGUUCUGAGACUUGAGUGAGACGAUUCAAUUCCAUUUGGUUUAGUUUGUAUUUUGUUACUUCUUUUUGUGUCUGUACGCCUAGACUCCGUGGAAAUGAGUGUUUUUGGUUCCUCCUGCUUCGGAAACAGAAUCUCCCAGCGCUGAACAAGGUUUCGAAUCAAUGUCUUACAAAACUGUAGAUCAUAUUUAACGCCUGUUUUCUAGGAAAAGGUGCUCUAGAACAAAUGGGAGUAAGAGGAGAACAGCAGGAACAAGGAGAGCGCAGAGACAGAAGAACGUUUAGGACUGGUGGCUUGAGCCCAAGGAGGAGUUUGUAAAGAUAAGACAUUGUGGUGAAGUGUAAGGCAUUAGCUUGAAAAGGCUGAUAAGUGUGUAGAUGUCACUAUGACUGCUCACUUGGAGAUCGACGGGCCCGUGGGUGCAUGGCUGUGGCCUUGUGUUCCCUGUGAAAUGCCAUGAGAAGUGUAUAGUCUGGGUCUAUUGCAGCAGUGGAAGGGAGCCCAAAGAAAUCCAUAAAUUUGCUUGGAAACAUAUUUCUGUGCUGCUGCUUCCAUUUUAAGAGAGUUCUUGGUAUGGAGAAGACAAAGGCAGGCUUAAGCCCCCUUUCAGGACAGGACUCUUCUUCGGUCUAAACAUGGAUUCGGGUGAUGGUCGUGAUGCUGAUGGAACCCAUUGUUAGCUGGGCUGCAGCCUGGAGGCUUCCUGAACUAGAAGCCGAAGAAGAAUGGCUUAACACACUGGUUCUUAACCUUGGGUUACUCAGGAGUUUUGGACUGCAAGAAUGGCUUAAUGGACAGGCAGAUGCCUCCUUGGCUUGGGACGGGUGGGGAGGUUGAAAGGGUGUCAUUUUCUCAUUCGGCCUGCAUUCCUAUCCCACAA